rnacentral:rRNA from 1 species
GAUGAACGCUGGCGGCGUGCCUAAUACAUGCAAGUCGAGCGAACGGACGAGAAGCUUGCUUCUCUGAUGUUAGCGGCGGACGGGUGGGUAACACGUGGAUAACCUACCUAUAAGACUGGGAUAACUUCGGGAAACCGGAGCUAAUACCGGAUAAUAUUUUGAACCGCAUGGUUCAAAAGUGAAAGACGGUCUUGCUGUCACCUAUAGAUGGAUCCGCGCUGCAUUAGCUAGUUGGUAAGGUAACGGCUUACCAAGGCAACGAUGCAUAGCCGACCUGAGAGGGUGAUCGGCCACACUGGAACUGAGACACGGUCCAGACUCCUACGGGAGGCAGCAGUAGGGAAUCUUCCGCAAUGGGCGAAAGCCUGACGGAGCAACGCCGCGUGAGUGAUGAAGGUCUUCGGAUCGUAAAACUCUGUUAUUAGGGAAGAACAUAUGUGUAAGUAACUGUGCACAUCUUGACGGUACCUAAUCAGAAAGCCACGGCUAACUACGUG